GAUAUGCACACCCCAAAGUAACUUAUGAUCACUGUCCUCUUGAUAGUAACUGAGUAGACAGGAUCUCACCAUGGGGUGGAGCAGGAUCAUUCUCUUCCUGGUUGCAGCAGCUACAGGUGUCCACUCCCAGGUGCAACUGCAGCAGUCUGGGGCUGAGGUGGGAAGACCUGGGUCCUCAGUGAAGUUGUCCUGCAAGGCUUCUGGCUACAGUUUUACCAGCUACAAUAUGCACUGGGUAAAGCAGAGGCCUGGACAGGGCCUGGAUUGGAUUGGAUAUAUUUAUCCUGGAAAUGGUGGUACUGCCUACAAUCAGAAGUUCCAGGGCAAGGCCACACUGACUGCAGACAAAUCCUCCAGCACAGCCUACAUGGAGCUCAGCAGCCUGUCAUCGGAGGACACUGCCAUCUAUUACUGUGCGAGAGACACAGUGUUGCAACCACAUCCUGGGUGUGUCAGAAACUCUGGAGGAGCAGGAAGCUGCCCUGCGA